GCCUGGGUGGCUCAGUCGGUUGAGUGUCUGAUUUCGGCUCAGGUCAUGCAUGAUCUCACAGUUCGUGGAUUCGAGCCCCAUGUCGGGCU
rnacentral:tRNA from 1 species